rnacentral:rRNA from 1 species
AACGAACGCUGGCGGCAUGCCUAACACAUGCAAGUCGAACGAGAUCUUCGGGUUUAGUGGCGCACGGGUGCGUAACGCGUGGGAAUCUGCCGUUUGGUUCGGAAUAACAGGUGGAAACGACUGCUAAUACCGGAUGAUGACGAAAGUCCAAAGAUUUAUCGCCAGAGGAUGAGCCCGCGUAGGAUUAGCUAGUUGGUGUGGUAAAGGCGCACCAAGGCGACGAUCCUUAGCUGGUCUGAGAGGAUGAUCAGCCACACUGGGACUGAGACACGGCCCAGACUCCUACGGGAGGCAGCAGUGGGGAAUAUUGGACAAUGGGCGAAAGCCUGAUCCAGCAAUGCCGCGUGAGUGAUGAAGGCCUUAGGGUUGUAAAGCUCUUUUACCCGGGAUGAUAAUGACAGUACCGGGAGAAUAAGCUCCGGCUAACUCCGUGCCAGCAGCCGCGGUAA